rnacentral:tRNA from 1 species
CGCGGGGUAGAGCAGAGGCAGCUCGUCGGGCUCAUAACCCGGAGGUCGUAGGUUCGAAUCCUACCCCCGCAA